AGGACACUAGAGUGCCUCACAGUGCAAGAGCUCUCUUUCUGAAUAGCUGAGCUAUUGUUGCCUGAGAUGGGGUACCUGCUGGAAGAAAUCAACACUUCAGUAAACUCUUGAGGAGGCUGUCAAUCUUCCUGGGAAAGACAGAUUCGGAGGAUAUCAAGCAGACACACCAGCUGUUAGAACAAGAGAAGGAAUCCAGAGG